UCCUACGGGGGGCAGCAGUGGGGAAUAUUGCACAAUGGGGGAAACCCUGAUGCAGCGACGCCGCGUGAAGGAAGAAGUAUUUCGGUAUGUAAACUUCUAUCAGCAGGGAAGAAAAUGACGGUACCUGACUAAGAAGCCCCGGCUAACUACGUGCCAGCAGCCGCGGUAAUACGUAGGGGGCAAGCGUUAUCCGGAUUUACUGGGUGUAAAGGGAGCGUAGGCGGCGAUGCAAGUCAGAAGUGAAAGCCCGGGGCUCAACCCCGGGACUGCAUUGGAAACUGUCAGGCUAGAGUGCAGGAGAGGUG
rnacentral:rRNA from 1 species